rnacentral:rRNA from 1 species
UACGAAGGGGGCUAGCGUUGCUCGGAAUGACUGGGCGUAAAGGGCGCGUAGGCGGCUCAUACAGUCAGAUGUGAAAUUCCUGGGCUUAACCUGGGGGCUGCAUUUGAUACGUGUGGGCUUGAGUGGGGAAGAGGGUCGUGGAAUUCCCAGUGUAGCGGUGAAAUGCGUAGAUAUUGGGAGGAACACCGGUGGCGAAGGCGGCCACCUGGGCCGGAACUGACGCUGAGGCGCGAAAGCGUGGGGAGCAAACGGG